GACGAACGCUGGCGGCGCGCCUAACACAUGCAAGUCGAACGAGCCUAGGGGAGCUUGCUCUCCGAAGCUAGUGGCGGACGGGUGAGUAACACGUGAGCAACCUGCCUUUCAGAGGGGGAUAACGUUUGGAAACGAACGCUAAUACCGCAUAAUAUACCGGGACCGCAUGGUUUUGGUAUCAAAGGAGCAAUCCGCUGAGAGAUGGGCUCGCGUCCGAUUAGCUAGUUGGUGAGGUAACGGCCCACCAAGGCGACGAUCGGUAGCCGGACUGAGAGGUUGAUCGGCCACAUUGGGACUGAGACACGGCCCAG
rnacentral:rRNA from 1 species